GCCAUGUUCAAGAAAAAAAUGGAGCAGUACCUGAUUUUGAAAGCGACACAGUUCACUAUCAAUUUGAAGUAUCAUUAGCAGCGGUAAAGAACAACUGGAGAUGCUAAUAACAUUUUUUUCAGGACAGACAGGAUUCCCAUAUGCCUGAGAGCCUCUGCUGAUGACUCCUUUGAAGACACAAAAAGUCAUGAAGAUUGUACCGCUACCCACAAACCUCUUUUUUAUCUACUUUUCCUAAUUGCCUGUGUUUUCAAAGCAUAGGCAAUUUUCUUACCUGAUUUUCAGUGAGGAGAACAUGGCAUUAUAUUGGCAUUUCCCCAUGGUGAGGUGUUUUUUGCUGUUUGUACUCUUAACUGAAAAAUCAGAAAAUACUGUUAAUUUUUUAUUAAACUGUUAAGAUGA